GCUGUUGGAUGGUCGCAUUAACAUUCAUGUGUUUUGUUUAGAUUAAGGAAUUAGUGGGUGAAAAUCUGCAAAGGACUUCUAACAAUGUAGAUUGAAAUAGUACACACGGCUGCUACUAAGCACUGGUGCUGGAGGGAGUGGAUGCUUGUGGAUGUAAUGCCAAUCACGCGGGCUGCUUUUCCUGGAUGGGCCAAGCUUCUAG